rnacentral:lncRNA from 1 species
AACCACAAUGUCAUGGGAUUGUGCAGACAGCUCCCCUUCCUUCCCUCAAAUAAAAGCAGUGUCCACAUUUCCGCUGUGAUGGGCACUGCUUCCCUCCUUUCCCUAUGUGAGCUGAAAACUCACCCCUAGGAGUCAAAUUUAAUCAAUUACACAAAACUAUUUUACCGGACGUGGGUUGUGAGCUGGAGUUGGAGCAAAAUAGGAAGUAGUAAAGAUUCCUUGAAAUCUAUUUCAGAGCUGUUCCUUUGGGGCUAUGAAAUAAAAGACAAGACUGGUAGAAAUGACUUAAAAUGCAAAAAUGGCAAAGGUAAUGAUCACCGUGGGUAGGUUAUAAACGACUGUGGAGGUUUGGGGAGGCUAAAUCAUCCAGCCAACGGAAAAGUAGUCAUUUGAAUCUGAAGACAGUGAGCCUCUGCCUGCGUCUGUCUCAUGUAUUGGAAUAUCCUCUUAUUAAAUUACAGUGUUUUAUAACUUGUGAAUAAAAUUGGUAUCAUGUUUACUAUGCAAAAGCCUCGCUAUUUUUCAGAUGGAUAUAUAUUUAAUAUGAAAUUGAAAUGUAAUAUCUAAAGCACCAAGCAAUAAAACCAACCCACCUUGUUUCAAACCCUGCUUAAGUUAUUUUUUUGAAUUCUGUAUCUAAUAACAU